GAGCGCUCGGGACGGCCGCGGCCCCAGGCGACCUCCGCGUGCAGAAGGCCCGGGGCGCACGCGCAACCCGUGUGCGGACGCCCAGAGAAAAGAGAAAACACGUUGGCUUCCGCCUCCUAGGGACCCCGCACGCCCACUUUUGUAGGAGAAUGUCACUUUUUGUGGAGGGACAGGUGGUGGGUGGGUGUUGAGGCUCCAUAAGACAUUGCUGUGCCCAGACAGUCGAUGGUGGACUCCGUGUAAAGGAUUCGGGAGACGUGGCUGCGCGGGGAGCACUGGGGAGCACUGGGGAGCGACCGUAGCCUCCGCAGCCAGGAUCCGCAGGCGGCUGGCUUUCUCCGGGAGCCUGAGGCCGGCUUCACGUCGUAGGCAGCAUCGUGCUGCUCCGUGAGUACGGGGAGCCAGCGGGCCUGGCGCCAACUGUGAAGUGCAGUCUCAUUCCUCCUGCAGGCGUGCAAGUACCUAGGUAUGUGGGUUAGCGGCCACCUCAGGACCUCACGUGCAAGUACCCAGUACCUUGAGAAAUAUGUUGAAUUGUUGAAGACAAGACUUGGAUAUUUUUUAAUUAUCUGGCAAAACAUCACCAUAAAAUAUUAUUACAGUGAACUUUGCCAUACUUCCUUAAUAUUUACAGGUGAAAGAGUAAGUUCCAGAAUGGCUGAUACAGACAUUAAAAGGAACAGCAAAUGAGCAAGGUGCAUUGAUGAAGACUACAUGGACCUCACUCUGUGAUUAGGGACACCUGGGUGGCUCAGUGGUUGAGCAUCUCCCUUCAGCUCAGGGCACGAUCCC